rnacentral:rRNA from 1 species
UCUGGCUCAGGAUGAACGCUGGCGGCGUGCCUAACACAUGCAAGUCGAACGGAGUGUCGAGAGCUUGCUUUGACACUUAGUGGCGGACGGGUGAGUAAUGUAUGAGCAACCUGCCUUCAGAGGGGGACAACAGUUGGAAACGACUGCUAAUACCGCAUAACGUGCGGGGAGGGCAUCCUCCCUGUACCAAAGGAGCAAUCCGCUGAAAGAUGGGCUCAUAUCUGAUUAGCCAGUUGGCGGGGUAACGGCCCACCAAAGCGACGAUCAGUAGCCGGCCUGAGAGGGCGGACGGCCACAUUGGGACUGAGACACGGCCCAGACUCCUACGGGAGGCAGCAGUGGGGGAUAUUGCACAAUGGGCGCAAGCCUGAUGCAGCGAACCGCCGCGUGAGUGAAGAAGUAUUUCGGUAUGUAAAGCUCUAUCAGCAGGGAAGAAAGACCCGCAAGGGGGAUGACGGUACCUGACUAAGAAGCCCCGGCUAACUACGUGCCAGCAGCGGC